GGGGGCAUAGCUCAGUGGUAGAGCGUCUGGUUUGCAUCCAGAAGGUCGUGGGUUCGACCCCCGUUGCCUCCA
rnacentral:tRNA from 1 species